CAGCAGCCGCGGGAAUACGUAGGGUGCAAGCGUUAAUCGGAAUUACUGGGCGUAAAGCGUGCGCAGGCGGUGUUGUAAGACUGAUGUGAAAUCCCCGGGCUCAACCUGGGAACUGCAUUGGUGACUGCAACGCUGGAGUGCGGCAGAGGGGGAUAAAAUUCCGCGUGUAGCAGUGAAAUGCGUAGAUAUGCGGAGGAACACCGAUGGCGAAGGCAAUCCCCUGGGCCUGCACUGACGCUCAUGCACGAAAGCGUGGGGAGCAAACAGGAUUAGAUACCCCCGUAGUCCCUGUCUCUUAUAC
rnacentral:rRNA from 1 species